AGAGUUUGAUCCUGGCUCAGAUUGAACGCUGGCGGCAGGCCUAACACAUGCAAGUCGAACGGUAACAGGAAGAAGCUUGCUUCUUUGCUGACGAGUGGCGGACGGGUGAGUAAUGUCUGGGAAACUGCCUGAUGGAGGGGGAUAACUACUGGAAACGGUAGCUAAUACCGCAUAACGUCGCAAGACCAAAGAGGGGGACCUUCGGGCCUCUUGCCAUCGGAUGUGCCCAGAUGGGAUUAGCUUGUUGGUGGGGUAACGGCUCACCAAGGCGACGAUCCCUAGCUGGUCUGAGAGGAUGACCAGCCACACUGGAACUGAGACACGGUCCAGACUCCUACGGGAGGCAGCAGUGGGGAAUAUUGCACAAUGGGCGCAAGCCUGAUGCAGCCAUGCCGCGUGUAUGAAGAAGGCCUUCGGGUUGUAAAGUACUUUCAGCGGGGAGGAAGGGAGUAAAGUUAAUACCUUUGCUCAUUGACGUUACCCGCAGAAGAAGCACCGGCUAACUCCGUGCCAGCAGCCGCGGUAAUACGGAGGGUGCAAGCGUUAAUCGGAAUUACUGGGCGUAAAGCGCACGCAGGCGGUUUGUUAAGUCAGAUGUGAAAUCCCCGGGCUCAACCUGGGAACUGCAUCUGAUACUGGCAAGCUUGAGUCUCGUAGAGGGGGGUAGAAUUCCAGGUGUAGCGGUGAAAUGCGUAGAGAUCUGGAGGAAUACCGGUGGCGAAGGCGGCCCCCUGGACGAAGACUGACGCUCAGGUGCGAAAGCGUGGGGAGCAAACAGGAUUAGAUACCCUGGUAGUCCACGCCGUAAACGAUGUCGACUUGGAGGUUGUGCCCUUGAGGCGUGGCUUCCGGAGCUAACGCGUUAAGUCGACCGCCUGGGGAGUACGGCCGCAAGGUUAAAACUCAAAUGAAUUGACGGGGGCCCGCACAAGCGGUGGAGCAUGUGGUUUAAUUCGAUGCAACGCGAAGAACCUUACCUGGUCUUGACAUCCACGGAAGUUUUCAGAGAUGAGAAUGUGCCUUCGGGAACCGUGAGACAGGUGCUGCAUGGCUGUCGUCAGCUCGUGUUGUGAAAUGUUGGGUUAAGUCCCGCAACGAGCGCAACCCUUAUCCUUUGUUGCCAGCGGUCCGGCCGGGAACUCAAAGGAGACUGCCAGUGAUAAACUGGAGGAAGGUGGGGAUGACGUCAAGUCAUCAUGGCCCUUACGACCAGGGCUACACACGUGCUACAAUGGCGCAUACAAAGAGAAGCGACCUCGCGAGAGCAAGCGGACCUCAUAAAGUGCGUCGUAGUCCGGAUUGGAGUCUGCAACUCGACUCCAUGAAGUCGGAAUCGCUAGUAAUCGUGGAUCAGAAUGCCACGGUGAAUACGUUCCCGGGCCUUGCACUCACCGCCCGUCA
rnacentral:rRNA from 1 species